CCUGGAAGAAUGGAAGCGGUGAGGCUGUGUGAGAAGAUGCACCUCUGAGAAGGAGUAACUGAUUAAAAAGAAGUAAACUGAUGGUCUGUCAAACUCUGUCAAUAGCUCAGCUCCAAGGAAGUACUAAACGCUAACUCUGCCCUGGCCUGUGCCCUUCCAAUGACCAGUUCAGCAUCCUGUUCUUUUAAUGGGAUCCUGUGGUCUCCCUCUUGCAAGCUGUUCCCUAGGGGAGGAGAGGACCUAGGCACUUCUGGAAGGAUACUGAGUGUCACAGCGCAAUCCUGGAGAAGGAGUGUGGAGCAGAGAAGCUGCUGGCAUCCAGGCAGCAUUCAUAGCAAAAGAGCUACUCAGUUUCCAGUGGGAGAAAGCUGUGAGAAGCCCCCCCUUCCCGUGCUGGGUAUUACUGAAUGGAAGGAGGAAGGAAUUGGGCAUGGCUGAACAAGGAACUGCUACUCAGGUUGAAGGAAAAAAUGGAAAUGUAUAAGCAGUGGAAGCAGACUUGUUUGCCUGUAAAGAAUGCACAGAUUCCCUUUGAAUGUGCAGAGAUGGGAUCAGGAAUUCUACGAUUCAUCAUGUCUGACCAACCUGGUGGCCUUCUAUGAUUGAGUGAUGGCAGUGGUUGACAAAGGAAAGGCAAUUGAUGUAAUUUACCUGGACUUCUUCAAGGCCUUUGAUAUGGCACCAUACCACAUCCUCAUUUCUAAACUGGAGAGAUACAGAUUUGGAGGCUGGACUAUUUGGUGAAAAAAGAAUUGGUUGGAUGGUCACAGUCAGAGGGUUGUGGUCAACAGCUCCAUGUCCAGAUGGAGGCUGUGAUUGGUGCGCUUCAUCAUCAGUGACCUAGACUGUAAAAUCAAGUGCAUCCUCAGCAAACUGGCUGAUGAGAUUGAGUGGUGCAGUUGUUACAACAGAAAGAAGAGACAUCAUCCAGAGGGACCUGGACAGACUUGAGAAGAGGGCCCAUGAGAACCUAAUGAAGUUAAUUGCAACAAGUGCAAGGUGUUGAAGUGGGGUCAGGGUAAUCCCAGAUAUGUGUACAGACUGGGAGAAGAGCCCAUUGAGAGUGGCCCUGUGGAGAAGGAUAUGAAGGUCCUGGUGGAUGAAAAGCCAGACAUAAGACAGUAGUGUGCACUUGCAGCCCAGAAGGACAACAGUACCAUGGCCUGCAUCAAAAGAGGUGUGGCUGGCAGGGCAAUGGAGGUGAUUGUCUCCCUCUACUCAGCCCUUGUGAGGUCCCAUCUGGAGUACUGUGUCUGGGUCAGGGGUCCCCACUAAAGGAGGGAUGCAGAGCUGCUGGAUCUCAUAUAAAGAAAGGGAGAGGGAGCUAGGCUUGUUUAGCUUGGAGAAGAGAAGGCUCUGAAGAAACCUCACUGCAGUUUUCUAGUAGAUGAAGGGUUCUUAUAAGCAGUGGGGAGACUAAAUUUUUACACAAUCUGACAGUGAUAGGACAAAGGGAAAAUAGCUUGAAAUUAAAAGAUGGGUGAUUUAAGAUGGAUUUUAGAUGUAAGUUCCUUAUUUAGAGGCACUGGAACAGGCUGCCCAGAGAAGCUGUGGAUAUGCCAUUACUGAAGGUGUUCCGGGCCAGGGUGGAUGGGGUCCUGGUCUGGUGGGUGGCAACCUUGAGCACAGCAGGGGUUUGGAGCUUGAUGAUGUUUAAGGUCUUCUACAACCCAAGCAUGAUCUCUAGCUUCCGCAGUACAGAAUGGCAGUGCUAAUGGGCCUGACAGCUGGUCAAGCUGUCUCCUGAGGCACUGCGGCCCUGUGCUGUGACAGUGGCUUUUGCUUUGUGAAAUACAGCUGGGCAGCCCAUUCCACAGCCCUACCAGUUCAGCCAAACAACGGUGUACAUUGGUGGCCAAUUAAUUACUUUCUAUUCCCACUAGCUAGGUUUAAUCAAACUGUUUUUUUCCUUCUGUUGAGCUCAUGAUUAAGAUUCACCUCAGCUGAUAGAGAAAAGCUUUGCCUCCACAGAAAAUGUUUUUUAGAAGCCACUGAGAACUGAGACAAUAUUCCACUCUUGUUUCUACUGAGUUAUUACAGAUGGGGAUCAAUUAAGUAGAACUGAAGCCCUUCCCCUCUCUUUUGAGCAAACAUGUCAGUGAUCCCGUUCAUGCUGUGGUUCUCACACAUUAUCUGCCCUGCUGUUUCAGCCCAAUAUCUGUGUGGCGGUGAUCAAGUUCUGCCAUGCUGCUGUUGGGUGUCUAAGCCCUUGGCAUUUCCCAACCUGUGGGCACUUAGGACAGCAGAAAUGGACACUGAAUGUGCUUUAGACUGCUUUUAUGGUCUACAAAACUCCUUGGACCUGACUGUGCAGCUAAUGCUACAGAAAGAAAUCCUUGAUGUUUGGAUUUUAAUUGCUGUGCAAGCUGAGUUUAUUAGGAACGUAAAUGUUUGAGCAGCUCCUUCUGAUAGGUCUAAUCUCUCAGUAAACCUGUCUUCAAAUCAUUAACCCUGCGGGGCUGCUCAAGAACUCGUUCUGCUGA